GAUGAACGCUGGCGGCGUGCCUAACACAUGCAAGUCGAACGGGUGUGGUAUCAGGGAAAAGGGGUUUACUUCUUUGACCAGAUAACACACUAGUGGCGGACGGGUGAGUAACGCGUGGAUAACCUGCCUUAUACAGGGGGAUAACAGGGAGAAAUUCUUGCUAAUACCCCAUAGGUAUGUCUGACGCAUGUUGGACAUAUUAAAGCUUUGGCGGUAUAAGAUGGGUCCGCGUCUGAUUAGCUAGUUGGUGGGGUAAAGGCCCACCAAGGCGACGAUCAGUAGCCGGCUUGAGAGAGUGGACGGCCACAUUGGGACUGAGACACGGCCCAAAACUCCUACGGGAGGCAGCAGUGGGGAAUAUUGCACAAUGGGGGAAACCCUGAUGCAGCGACGCCGCGUGAAGGAAGAAGGUCUUCGGAUCGUAAACUUCUAUCAGCAGGGAAGAAGGAAGUGACAGUACCUGAGUAAGAAGCCCCGGCUAACUACGUGCCAGCAGCCGCGGUAAGGAGUAGUA
rnacentral:rRNA from 1 species